rnacentral:lncRNA from 10 species
UUUUUUUUUUCAGAAAAUUUGUGAUUUGGUGUGUAGAAACACUCUUGAUUUUUGUAUAUGGAUUUUUUUAUUCUGCAAUUUUACUAGAUUUCUAGAACACACAAGAGUUUACUCUCUAUAAAUAACUCUAAGAGAAAUACAUGAAGGAAACACUUCUGAAACGUCUCAUUUCCUAGUUGACAUUAACGUUCUCACAGUGAAGAGUUCCCCUGGCCUAGAGUCAAUGUGGCAAAGCCUUCUUCUGGAGCUCACAUCAGAAAACUCAGUGAUCCCGCGUUAAGCAAGGGACAUGCAUUCCAAGACCCCCAGUGGAUGCCUGAAACCUCAUAUAAUAUUGAGCCCUGUGUGGUUUCCUUAUGCUGCCCAGGCUCAUGUCGGACUCCUGGCCUCAAGUGAUCCUGUUGCCUUGGCCUGCCAAAAUCCUGGGUUUCCAGGCAUGAGCCCCCAUGCCUAACAUGAAAUAUUUAAUUUUAUAACAAAACCAGCAUAUGUUACUUACAAGAAAAGAUAAAGAAAAUCUGAAAACAGAAAAAAUGGACAAAUAUUAAAUAUAUGGCAGAAAAUAUAAGCAAAAUUAAGUAGAAUUGCCUAUAUUUACAAUAGAUAAGGUAACAAUGAGGACCAAAUAAAUUAAAUGACAAAAAUAAUUCUCCAAGGAGAAAUCAUUUAUAUAUAUAUCUUUUGGGGCACAAAAUAUCAAGAGACAAACACAUACAGAAUGAACUAUUAUGAGGACCAGAAUAGUUUGAUUAAAGCACAAUCACAUAUUAAUAAAAAUACAAGAGGUGGUCAGGUGCAGUGGCUCAUACCUGUAAUCCCAGCACUUUGGGAGGGCAAGGCAGGAGAGUGACCUGAGGUGAGGAGUUCAAAACUAGCCUGGCCAACAUGGUCAAAUCCUGCCUCUACUAAAAAAUGCUAAAAGUAGUCAGGUGUGAUGAUGCUUUCCUGUAGUCCC